GUCUAAAAUUGAUACAUCUUUUUGUGGUUUAGGGAUUAGGGUAAUUAGACCUUGACGUAGUGUGGAAGGUAAUUUAUCUUUCUGUAUAAUUUCGGUAAAAACAUCCAAUAGAAAGGGAGCAAGUUGGGCUGAGAAUAAUUUAUAAAAUUCAGAGGUUAGUGCAUCAGUGCCUGGACAUUUGUUUAAGUUAUUAAUAGCAUCAGAAAUUUCGGUAAGAGUUAUAUGUAAAUAACAAAUUGACCUUUUGACAUCUCCAAUUGUUUUAAUAUCACCAAGAUUCUUUAAAAAAUCAUCCAUUUGAAUAACUGAAAUAUUUUAGGGUUAUAGCAUUUUAUAAUAAUUUUUACAAAUCUUGGAUAAAUCACUAGUAUUAUCUACAAUAGUACCAUUUGAAGUGUCUAUUUACACUAUUUUUAUUUUGUCUUUGUUUUUCUAGGUUUAAAAAGUAAUCAUAAUUCUGCUCCUCCUCUAACCAUUUUUCUCUUAAUUGUGCAAAUGCACCUUUAGUUUUUUUUUAUGUAUAAUUGAUCUAGUUUAAGCUGUAGUUCAAAUAGGUUUUCUGGCUAAAUGGAUGAUAGUGAAGUAAGGUUGGUUAUUAAAGUAUUUUCCUCCGUUAUUCUUUCCUUUAUUUUCUAAAAAACAAAACAUUUUAGCUCAAAUUUUAAAAGUUCCCAUUGUUUUUGAUAAUCCCCUUCCUCUUCAGGAAGCUUAAGAUAUUCUGAAAUUGUAUUUCUUACUAUUUCACAAUGAAAGAGAAAUUAAGUUUCCACUAGGCUGGAUAUCUCUGAGUUGGCUUGUUUGGUGAUAAAUGUAGAGUUCGUACAGUUGCUCUGUUUUCUGUUAAGGGUGUCGGCAUAAUUUCCCUUUUACAGUGCAGUUGAGUAAGGGAUUCUGAGAUCAACCAAAAAUCUAUUCUAGAUCGUAGAGAGCCGGCCCUGUUUGUCCAUGUAAACUCUCUACUACCUGGAUUAAUAACUCUCCACAUAUCAGCAAGGCUUCUUUCAUUUAUAAAAUUAGUCAAAAACGAGUUAGCUGUAAUCCUUUGCAGCCAUCUAUCAAUUUUGUUAUUAAUUAUACAAUUAAAAUGUCCUCCCAGUAUUAUUUUGACAUCAGAGAACCUUUCUACAAUACUUUCAAUCAAAUUAUUCAAUGUCUGAAAUAACUCUUGUAUUGUCUUGUAUUUGUGUAACCAUAAAUGUUUCCUAAAAGAACAAACUGGUUACAGUAACAGAAAACGUUCAAUAUAUAAUGUCCAUUUGAGUCCGAUUGAAUAAGAAUAACCUUCCCAUUAAAUUUGUGCUUAACUUUUAGAGUUCCAGCUGAAUGGCCAUUUCCCUGGGACAUCCAUAAGUCCUGUAAAUGUGUAAAUACUGACUUCAGCAAAUGUCGUCUUCCUUUUAUUUUCUCUUUUUUUUCAGUUAAGCUAUAAAUAUUGAUGCAAAAUAAUCAUUCCAACUACUUAGAACUACAAUGAACCCUCGUUUUUUGAGGGGGUUACUUUCCAAAAAGUACCCGUGGCGAAAUCUGUGAAGUAGUAACCUUUAUUUUUUUUUACAAUUAUUAUACAAUGAAAUACUCCAUAAUACAUUGAAACCAAAGAACAAAAACUUUUACAGGCCCAAGCAUUUGUUUAACAAAUAUAAAUACUGUAUUAACGUUUUUGUGUUUUUUUUUUUUACAAAUAACUACUGUACUGUAAAAUAAUAAUUUGAAUCAUUAAUACGAACUGAAGGCUUCAAAUUGCGGAGACCAGUACCGCCCCACCACGACCCGAGUCAUUGGAUUAGAACGGGAGAAAAUGAUAAAUGAUUAUGAAAAGAAAUACAAGAUACAAUCGGACAAAUAGUGACUUACGUGUAUUUCACUGAUCUUCUGACCGAGCUGCUGCAUCCUGACUCCACUCUGUAGCGUUUUUUUUUUUUUUCUUCUAAAGCCAGGUGUGUUUUUUCGAGAGAAGAACGUAGUUAUCGGUAGUUGUUUUACGUACUUGUACAUAUUAAACCGCAACGUUAUUGACACACAGGUAGAGAAGAAGCGGAGAGACUGUUUAGCCAAUCAGAAUGCAGAACACGAUGCAAAUCCGUGAAGCAGCGAGACCGUGGAAGAUGAACCGUGAUAUAGUGAGGGUUCACUGUAUACUGCAUUUAUAAUACCUGCUGUAGAAAUUUUACUUUAUAUUUUUAAGCAGAUCAUUCAGUCCCAAAGACGGCGUUGGAGGUCAGGGUCUUCCACUCUUGAACGCAGUGACACCCCAAGAAUGACCAUCAACCAAAGCCUCAGGCAACCUCCGCAGAAGUCUGUCAGAGCUGACAGGGAUCCCAUAAAUGCAGCCAAGGCUUUGUCGACGUAUACACAGAAAUUGAGGAAGGAUGCCUUUCCAAUGUCUGAAAAAAAAGAGAGUUCUUCAGCUCCUACUUGAAAUCAAGGAUACAAUUCAUGUUGCCAGUUCAUCUGCUGGAACAAGUUAUGAAGUGAAGCCAGCAAACACAGAACAAGAGUUUGAAGCUCUAGAGAAACGCCUGGAGGACAUGAAUGAGGGAGCAGAACUGAGUAAGUGGAAACUUCCAUCUGUUUUUGAGCACCCUUGGACAACACUGCUCCCCUUUUUAGUAGCCAUCCUCAGGGUAGUCAGACCUGCUAGCGUGACAUGCUACUCCAACUCAGCCGGUGUGUCAGCUGAGGGGAGGGGGAGGCUGUUUGCUUGAAGAUUAAACAUCUAAAGAGGUUGGGGGGCGUUGAUGCUGCAGAUCUUGUCAAGAAAUCAAUGGCUGCACACUUUCUUCAACUCAUUUGACACAACAACAACCAAACUGGAUGAAUACAUUUCUAAAUAUUUGAAGUAUGCACCAGAGAGGAUGGGAGGUGGAGGUCGAAAGAAAUAGGGAAGAUUCCCUGCUCAGUGUUGCCCAUUUUGGCGUUUCCAACAUAAAACUGUUUGAAUGUUGCAGCUCAUAAUAAAUUUUGGUUUUGCACUACAUACCAUCCUUUAUUAACUGCUUAAAUCAGAUUUGUUGAACCAAAUUAUACAUUUAUCGUUUUGAUUUUCCAGCUCUGUAUAUAAAUAAUUUUGGUACUUCAGUUUUAAAUACUUCAAAAAGAUUUUUUUUUUAUUAAGUGCUUUAAAAGAUAAGGGCUUCAAAGCCUAGAUUUCUUCAACUGCUAAAAGCAGAGGCAGAAAUGGUUAAAAUUUCCCUUCGAGGUUCAAUGUUGCCAAAUGUUUGGGCCAUUUUUUAUUAUUAUCAUCUAAGAUAAUAAAUCAGUUUAUAACAUCA